rnacentral:rRNA from 1 species
GACGAACGCUGGCGGCGUGCUUAACACAUGCAAGUCGAACGGAAAGGCCUCUUUCGGGGGGUACUCGAGUGGCGAACGGGUGAGUAACACGUGAGUAACCUGCCCUUGACUUUGGGAUAACUUCAGGAAACUGGGGCUAAUACCGGAUAGGAGCUCCUGCUGCAUGGUGGGGGUUGGAAAGUUUCGGCGGUUGGGGGUGGACUGGCGGCUUAUCAGCUUGUUGGUGGGGUAGUGGCUUACCAAGGCUUUGACGGGUAGCCGGCCUGAGAGGGUGACAGGCCACAUUGGGACUUAGAGACGGCCCAGACUCCGACGGGAGGCAGCAGUGGGGAAUAUUGCACAAGGGGUGGAGGCCUGAUGCAGCAGCGCCGUGUGCGGGAUGACGGCCUUCGGGUUGUAAACCGCUUUCGCUCAUGACGAAGCUUUGUGUGACGGUAGUGGGUAAAGAAGCACCGGCUAACUACGUG